rnacentral:lncRNA from 1 species
AGAUGCCUCCUUGUUCCAGGCUGACAAGCCCGGGCUUGUGCUUAUUUCACUGUCUAACCCUGCCCAGGCCCCGGGGAGAAGCCUGGUAUUCUUCGUGUUUAUUUAAUUGUCAACUCUCUGUGUUCUAAGACGAUACCCUGGCCUUGACUCAGUACAACCUAGGACUGUAAGUCCCAUCAUGUCUAUGGACUUCAGUUUCCAGACAUGAAACACAAGAGGCUUGGACGAGAUUAGAAAUCAAGAACUCGAAUGCGUAUGGUCAGAGCCACGAGAGUUUCCAUAAAGGAACACAACCAUGUGGACAACUUGAUUAUGCCCUACAAAACUGAAUUCCUGUGAGCAUUCCUCUUCAAGAUGGAAGAAAAAGGGAAUAUUUCACAACCCCAAUGGUGAAACGUCUGCCUAUAGCCAACAAUACAAUCUUCUUGCUCUGUCACCCAGGCUGAAAUGCAGUGGCGCCAUCUCGUCUCACUCGGCUCACUACAACCUCCGCCU